rnacentral:snRNA from 1 species
CUGCCUUAAACUAAUGAGUAAGGAAAACAAAGCGGGCGGUGAGAACCGGCCGCAGCGUAUGACCAAUAUUAAUUGGUGCGCAAGAAUUUUUGGAGGGGGUAUAGGCUAGCCAAGUUGAGACGCUGCUUACUUUUGCAGAACUCGCUUGUGUAGGCCUCCCA